rnacentral:rRNA from 1 species
UGGGGAAUAUUGGGCAAUGGGCGCAAGCCUUACCCAGCAAUACCGCGUGAGUGAAGAAGGUCUUCGGAUUGUAAAGCUCUUUGAUCAGGGACGAACAGAUGACGGUACCUGAAGAACAAGCCCCGGCUAACUACGUGCCAGCAGCCGCGGUAAAACGUAGGGGGCGAGCGUUGUCCGGAAUGACUGGGCGUAAAGGGUGCGUAGGCGGCAUAAUAAGUUAGAAGUGAAAUACCCAGAGCUUAACUCGGGUGCUGCUUCUAAGACUGUUGAGCUUGAGUGCGGGAGAGGUUAAUGGAAUUCCUAGUGUAGCGGUGGAAUGCGUAGAUAUUAGGAGGAACACCAGAGGCGAAGGCGAUUAACUGGACCGUAACUGACGCUGAGGCACGAAAGUGUGGGUAGCAAACAGG